GGGUGGCCAGGGUUGCCCCGAUUGUUAAUGCAGGGGUGUGGGGUGCCUGACCAUCAGAGCCCCUGGAAGAAGGGAGACAGGGACUAGGGACGUCUGCCUCUAGUCAGGAUCGUCUCUGGAGAGGGCCAGGGAGCAAGACCAGGCUGCCUUUGCCAUCCGUCCUGGAACCAACCCGAGGCUGUGCUCGUCAAGAGGGCUCCCCAUGCUCUCUUAGUCCCACAGGAGGAGGGCACACGGGCAUGAUAACCCAGCCCUGUGAGCAAGCUACGGCAGGAGCACCGCGGCAGAUCAAGGGGCAGAGAUAUGCACGGAGGAGAGUCUGUCCGUGGGCCUCGGGGCCACCUGCAGCCAGCUGGCGGAGUCCCUCUGCGCCUGCUGCGCCCUCCGGUAGCACACCUCCUGAGCAGUCGGGGGCCGGGCUGGGGGGGCCACGGGGGCCCUCCUUGGGGCCUCUGCCUGAAAGAACACAGGUCUUGGAGGCCAGCUGAGUCAAGAGCACUCGAGGCAGGCUGGAUGAGGAGCCCCAGGGUGGGGAAGCCUUCCCCCUUCCCAGCUCCUUGGCUUCUGGAGACCUUGAUCCCAGCGUCCCACUGCCCAGCAGUACGGGGAUAACGGUGGCACUGGUGACCUGUCUGCGCACAUCUCAAAGAUGAAGCCUUCCUGAGAAACUGCAUCUGGGACCCUGCCCCCGUCCCGGGAGGCUUUAAGGACUGAAUGUUUGUGGGCCCGAGCUUGUGGUCGCAGCCCUGGGUGGGUGGCCUCUCCUGGGGUUCCCACUGUCUCCCCGCCACAGCGGAGGCAGCCUGGGCUCGGGCUGGUGAGCCCGCUCAGCCCCACUACCCACUGGAGCCCUCCCACUCCUCCCUGAAGCCCCUGGGCCCAGGUCAGGACAGCGGACAGGAGCGGACAGGGAGGGCACGCUUCUCUACUGAACACCAGCUUACCAAAGGCCAGCUCAGGAAGCCUGGGGUCCAGACCGGGGGGCAGGCCUUCUCCCUCCAGCUCCCCACCCUCAUGCCCAAAUCUGGGUCUUACCUCCUUGCCUGGCUUGCAGAGGUGGGAGACCCUUCUCUUCUGCCCCGGGAACAGAGUGGUCAGGCCCGCGUGCGCCUUCUCCACGGCCUUCUCCUUGGGGGGCUGAAAACACACAGGCACUCCUCACUCCAGGUCUUCCUUGGGGCGCACCCCUGCCUUUCCACCCAGGCUCACGUCACCACCAGACCUCAGGCGGUCCUGCCGGUGAGAGCCCUACCCAGCGGGAUCAGCACCCUGCGGCCCAAGGCCCGCCCCAGCACCUGCCUCCCAGGCUAGGGUGGCAAUUCUGUGGACAGAAGGACAAGUGGGCACGGCCCUGCUGCUGCCCCCACACCCAGCCCAGGAUGACGGCUCAGACACGGAGUGCCAGUCAAGGGCAUCAUCCCCGUAGGCCUAGUGCUGGAGGGAAAGGGCCAGUCCAUCUUUGUCUGUUCAGGGAGGCUGAGGCAGCUCCGGGUUGUACGGGUCAUAGCCAAGCCCUGGGAGGGAAGGGAACACGGACAGCCCUGAGCCGGCCUGCCAGAGAUGGGCAAGAGGACACAGAGAACUCACACUGCACUUGUGGAGGGACCGAGUCCACACCCUCGCCGUGGGCCCACAGCAGGCAGCUCACAACCCCGCAACCCCAUCCAGUCUACCUCUGGCCUCCAUACGGACCUAACUCACACCCCCACACACAUUCAAACACAAUUAAAAGGAAAAAUCUUUUUUUAAAGCCUUAAUAAAGAGAUCAGUAGUUAUGGUGUGAUCCCACCAGUAUAAGCAAGAACUGUAUGGCCCAACCACGUCUAUCUGGAUGAGGGGUGGGGUGCAGGCACACUGUUGAUAUCCCCCUCUGAGCACUGUCCCCAAGGGAAGCUGGAAGAACACGCAGUCGAGGUGUAGAUCAGGGAGGGGAGUCUGUUCCAAAUCAGCUGGCCUUCUCAACAGCCCAUGCAGCCCUGCUGAAGGCCAGGCCCCAGACACUUGCAGAAAGCCCAGGAGACGACCCUGUGGCUGAUGACCCUGAGCUGGGGACCAUCCUGCAUCAGCAGGGCCUGGGCCUCCACAGGGUGGUCCUCAGGGAGGUAGGACUGGACUCGGGAAGGGCCUCCAGCAUGAGCAGGGUGAGGCUGGAGGAAGUGCAGUCUUCCAUG